rnacentral:lncRNA from 1 species
AUAGACCUUCGAAAGCCUCCACGACCUGCCACGCCCUGUCUCCCCAUCCCUACCUGCCAGAACUCACCGCCACAGCAGACUCUGCUUCAAGUUCUGCCCUUCUCUGUGUUUAAGCCAAAUGGCCCUUCCCUUCAAUUCCAGUGUCAGAGCUGCAUCCUCAUUAGACCUUCCCUGACCACCGGAGCCCACAGUGAUCUCGAAGCAUCGAUCUUUCCUUCCCCUGAACUUCUGUAGCAAUUAUUGCCUACACCACAAAUUCGGGACUGAAUAGUAUGCUGCUGGGGUCAUUGUUCAGCGUUUCGUUGGAAUGCUUCUUGUCUUCCCAAUCGGAUGUUAAGGGCAUGGAGGUCCGAGAUGGGGUGGAUCCUUCUUUGUAUCCAGCGUUGUGGCCACCAAGCACAUGGCCCUUCAAUGCUGCUGUGGCCCUCGGACUCCAUCAGCCCUUGCUAUGCCGUCGUGAUUUUGGCCCCGUGGAGCUUUUUGGCUGCUUCCUCCACCACGUGCCCCGUGGUGACUCAACCGUCUCGCUACUUUUUUAAGUUGGAACGACUGUGCAACCUUUGCUCCUACAGCCUGCGAAGGCGUCAUUUGGCCAGCACUCAGCACAAAAGCAUUUGUGUGCUAGGCUGCCGCUUUUCCCUCAUUAGCCCAAACAAUUAAAGGAGCUCUGUUUAAUUCUCGUGCAACAACAGACCCUGACGCAGAGCUGGACUUGAGACUGGGUGUCACUGCUUGGUCCCUGGGAUGAAACACAACACUGGUUCUUACCGAGGCUCCGGAACUCUGGCUUGAGAACAACUGUUGCGCUCCCUGAAACGGCACCCCCGGUGGUCUGAAAGAGUUAACGCCAGAACCGCUGUGAAUUAUUCUGCAAUUAUAAUAAUAGAAACCGUGUUUUGAACCUUUGUUGUGCACCAUGAGCUCGAGAGGUGGGUGGAAUAGUAUUAGCCCCACUGGACAGAGGAGAAGGUUGAGACUCAGAGGGGUUGGCCAGUCAAGGUCCCAUCGGUGAUGGGCAGCAUCUGGAUUCCACCCGGGCUGUGUGACUCACAGCUGGGGAACUUCCCACUAGGCUCCAGGACGCUUUGAGUUA